rnacentral:rRNA from 1 species
UACAGAGGUCUCAAGCGUUGUUCGGAUUCAUUGGGCGUAAAGGGUGCGUAGGUGGCGCGGUAAGUCGGGUGUGAAAUCUCGGAGCUUAACUCCGAAACUGCAUUCGAUACUGCGGUGCUUGGGGGACUGGAGAGGAGACUGGAAUUCAUGGUGUAGCAGUGAAAUGCGUAGAGAUCAUGAGGAAGACCAGUGGCGAAGGCGGGGUCUCUGGACAGUUCCUGACACUGAGGCACGAAGGCCAGGGGAGCAAACGGG